UCCAUGCAAAGCCAUGGCUUUUGCUGAGCUCCUGCAGGCAGGCGAGCUCCCGCUGAACACUGGACAACUCGAUGUUAACAGGCUCUUGCUGCUGUGCGAGGGCAGUGGUUCUCAGCGAAGAUGUAAUCUGCGCAUCAUGAGACAAGAACGCAACAGAUCUGCCAGGUUUUAAUGCAACAUACCAACUAUUUUGACUUGGUCUUAGAAAUGCUUUCCAGUGUCAGAUCAAAUUAGUGUUUCCUAUGACUGAAGCCACUGAAACUUUGUCAGCGGCGCUCCAUGCCACAAAAGCCCAGAGCCUCGCGCUGAGCAAGUCGCCCUCAAAUCACCCGCGGCGUGGAAGCGCGUCGUGCCCCGCUCACGUGGGACGGGGCGAUGGAGAUCCAAAUGGGAACGGACGCUCGGGUUGUUCUGCUCAUCUGCAAUGGGUCAGCAGCGGAGCCGCAGCCUCCACACGCGCUCCCUGCCUCGGCGCUGCUGUCGGCGGACUCGCGCCAAGGAGACCGUGACAAGCCCCACGUCCUCCUGGGUCCACCUGGAACAAGCCAUGCUGAGGGACCUCGAGCUCGACGCCCAUCGUGGUGGGGGUUUCUGCCAGCCCAGGAGCCGUCCUGCAGCGGAGGAGCACCUCAACACGUGUCCAUCCUCCUUGGGUGCGUGGGACCCAGCUCUGCGACGGUGCUGAGGACGUGUCCCCAUCACAGCUAAUGAGUAGAGUUGUGCAGCGGCCUAAAUAUCUACAGACGUGAGGCAUUGGCAGAAGCUGUCCUUAUAGAUAUGCUCCUCCAGCAAGGCAAUGAAGCAUUUGCUUAUUUAAAUGAGAGAAAGUCACAUUCAGUCUUAAAGGUACGCUGUGACAACAGUUUAGCAGAGGACGUGAUGACGAGGGCAUCCAGCGGAGACGGCUGGGAGCUUUAGGGCCCAAAGCAAUUCCCACUGGCGUCGAUGGAAACGUUUGCAGUACCUUCAGCAGCUGCUGGAUCAGGCCUUAAAGAAGGUAGAUGCCAUUGUGCAACCUGAAAUUGGGUCAGUUUUGCUACCACUGGUAUUUUAUCGUUGUGCAAGAGUUCUUGUGCAACUGUAAGGUCAGGAUCUGAGUUUCGCGUCUUACCUGAUGACAAAUCCAGCAGAAAAAUGCCCAGAGGAGCCGUGCUUGGGCACUGACUCAGAGCGAGACCCACUGUCUUCUGACUCACUGGCUGCUCCUGAAACCCGCAGCUUUCCUGGGUGAUCUUCGACCGAUAUCUAAGCAAGCGCAGCGUGUGAGCUGUGAUCGAGAGGAUCUCAGCCUGUAUCUUCACUGUUGCAAAAUGCAGCUUUGUAUAAUUUUUCCUGCAACAACAAAAAAUGUCCAGUGUUAAGACUUCUCAGAGGUGAGUCUGUUUCCAUUUUACCUGCUCUGCUCGCCUUCCCCGACAGAGACUCCACCUCUCCCUCUGCUAUUCGGUGAAGAGCAGCUUGAGGCCGGGAGAUGAUGUCAGCUGAAAAAGCAGGUACAACCUAAACAGAAGCAAUCCAUUAAGACGAGAGAGAAGGAAGAGAGAGAGAGAGAAAGAAAAAAAAAAACUUUUGGAGAAGAUUUUAAAAGUUUCCUGAUGGAUCAGCAUCCUUGAGAUUAAACAUUCCCAUAUGUAAGUUGACAUUUUAAAAUGUAAGUCUUAUGAAAGAUAAGAAGGAAAUUGUGAGAAAUGCAACCUUAAAUAUUUUGAAGCAUGACUUCCUGUAUUAUGUGGCAGUUGGCAAAACUUUCAGGGAAAAGAUGCACGCCUCAAAAUCCACACGGUGUAGUGCACUUAUUUGCCUAAAAUUUUCCUCCUGUUCCUUAAUGUUUUCAUGUUCUAACUCUUCCACACCUUUGGACUAGAGUUGCAGUAUCAUUCGAACGUUGCUUUUAAUCUCUCGGACAGAUGUUUUAGAUCAAUUGCUCAAAAUGGAUCGGUUUAGCAGUCAGAAAACACUGUCAAAAAAGAUUUGUUGCAAAGAAGACAAAACCGUGAAAUAAAAUUGAACUUUUAUCCCCAUUUGGAUGGGAACUGUGCUCGCCUGGGGAUCCCAGGGGAUGAGCACAGUGGCCUAUCAUGUGUUGAAAAAACAAACAGAUGACAGGAUUCUGCAGUAAUCAAGCAAAAGCUGCUUCCGAGAAAUCGUGUGCUCACCAUUGUUCAGUGCUGCAGGACCUAAAAAAAUAUAUAGUUAUUGAAGAAAGGAAGGUGACCUUGUGACUGAAGCUAGGGAAGACUAAAAAUCCACUGCCAAUAGCUCUGAAUUCUUCCAGGCUCUGAAGAGCCCACAGUUUUCUUGUAAGAAAGGUGUGAAACACACAGCUCUUAGUGAAGCAGCUGAACUUUAUUUUCUGGCAUUGUUCAGAAUUAUGAAAGAUUAACACACUAGUGGUGGUGGGUGUUAGUAUUUCCUGGCUGCAAAAGCUAUUCUUACGGUACAUCUUUUUAUUUCUGAAAAGCCAUGCAAAUAAGGCAGUGUCACUAACAUGAAUAGCCACAAGCUUCUUGCAGCCGAUUAAUAAAACAGAGAUGGCUCUUUCCAGUGCCCAGGGAGGACAACCUGAACUUCCUGGCACAACACAGUGUUUUUCUGUCUCUCACUAGAUACGUGUCAACAGAAACAUCUAAAUGUGCUUGUUCGAGAACGCUUUUUUGGUUAUUUUGUGUCCUGUGAUGCCCUGCUCGUAUGCUCAGCUGGAUCUCCACUUGGCACCAUCUUUUGGUCUAAUCAUGCUGCAACGCAGCAGUGUUAAGUACCUAUUUUGAAAUGACAAAUGUUCCAACAAAGGGCUAUGUUUCUGCCUCAUCAUCACGGCUUUGUCCUCCAUUUCUUUGCUCAGGCAUGUAGUUCGCUUUUCAGUUUUGCUAUACUUUGUUCUGGGUGGUUUUGCAGAAUGGUGGCUUUGCUUGCUUGUCUCACUCUACAUGCCUCCUGCUGGAUGAGUUUGCAUUGUGUGGUGUUUUCCUCCUCAUUUAUUGCAAACAAAUCUGGUCUCUGCCAUUUGUUUACUCGUAUACUCUGUCUUUAUGCCUUGGUAUGCAUUUUUAAUUAGAUGCGCUUCAGUUCUUUCGCUGCUUGUUAACACUUUCAUAUGGGAAAUACACUUUCCACUAGCCCUGCAAGCAUCCUCUUAGGAAAUUCAUAUUUGUUGCUCAUGUCCACGGUUAUCAUCUGGAUCACAAGUGAUACAGAGACUUGUUCUCUACCUGGCCUGUCUGCUGGGUUUCUAGAUUCCCAUCGAGCACUUUUAAGGUAGAAUGAUAUUUGCCUCAUCUUUAAAGUUCUCCUACCCGAGCAGGCUGAUCUGAAUGCCCUUUUUCCACUUGAAAAUAUUCUGCCUAGAUGGAAAUAAUGUUUUGGCUAUUUGUCCAGGCUGUUUCUGGACCUCAGUAACUCCCGUUAGGAUGUCUGAUAUCAAGAAGUCCUGCACAAAGUAUUGUAAUGUAUUGUAAUGAAAUUAUUUUGCACAAAUAUAGUAAAUCCAAAAGAUCAGGAAUGCAUCGGGUUAGCCAUGAAGACAUUGGCCAUCAGUUCUGUGAAUGGAGGAUGGCUGUGUCUGGGUAGGAAUACUGGAGACCUAAACACAUGACAGCUUUCAAAAAAGGCCUCUUUCCUGAGUGCCACUACCGUUAAAGCAUCAAAUUACUUUUGUUUUUUUUUAAUAGUUUGAGCACGUUUGUGAUUCCACUGUUAUUUCUUCUGCCUCUAAAUCUGACUCAUUCCACAGGCACAGGACUUCACCCUUUCUAGCUCUCUUCUAUACCAUUAGCUUUCUGGAAACGACGUGGGAACUGGAAUGGGAAAAUUUGACCCCUCUCCACUCUUUCAUU